rnacentral:rRNA from 1 species
AUGGAUGAAGGACCGGACGAUGAGAAUUCGCAGGAGGUGGCAGAUGAUGAGCGCAAAAACUGGAAGCAACUUCUGGAUGGCAAGCGAACAUACCUCCGACCACCAAGGGAGCACCAUGUUGUCAGUGAUGUUUUCAAGUGUCCAGAUACUCGUAAAGCUGCAUUAGGACGCCAGAAACGACUCUCGCGUUUGGUUGAGAAACAUUCAAAGAAUUUCUUCAAGGAAAAGAUCAAGGAAAACCUUGGAUUAAUGCAAGAUAGUCAAGCUGAAGUUACUCGUCUAAUGGAACAUGUGGCUAUGUCCAGAGAGAAUUUCUGUCGUCUGAAAUGGGAUAAAGCAUACUUCUUAAAUCCUGAAGAAUACUUUUCAAGUGUUGUUUCUGAGUUCAGUCAUUUGGUUAACUCAGUUGCGAAUGGUCUGAGUUCUGAUGAGCUGUACAAUAGAAGUAUACAGGAGAUCGUGCCACUCAGGAUUAUUUCUUUGCUAAGAUUGCUGGCAGAGACUGAGAUCCGAUCACGAGAAGACGAUUUCAAAUCACUUCUCCCAAAAGAAAUGGAUGCCCUUACGCUUAGAUAUUGCUGCAAGGAGCUGCGUCCUCUGGAUGUUGAAGCCGAGGUGCUACCAAUGAGGGCUCUAACAUAUGCGCUUGGCAUUCCGUUGCGUGUCGAAACUGUGGGCGAAGGUUCGGAUCGUGGAAUUCAAGUGGAGCGCCUUGAUUUAUUCCCCCGAUCGGAAUCGGGGAAGGGUCCUCUUCAUUUGGUACAAAGCUACUGGUCAUCCAUCACAACCCCUGAACCACAGGAUAUCGGAAGUGGCAACUUGUUAUCAUCUGACGGCACACCUUUGCUGACAUUGUUGUGUAGGCCUAGGCACUGUGACAUUCUUUAUCGCAGUGAACAAAACUAA